AGAUUGUGACAUGUAACAUAAAUGACGUCAUGAUGUUGUUAUAAUCUAAAAUUUUUUUAAAACUUAUCUAUUUUAUUUUUGCUCCCCUAAAUUUUUUUGUUUGUGUAAUUAAUUUUCUUUCUUCUUUUUUUUGUUUCUUCUAUCAUUUCUUCUUCUUCUUUCUCCCUCAGCCCAAGUUUCUCUUCUUUUUCUUUUCUUUUUUGUAAAAUUUUCGUUAAAAAGUUCUUGAGCCGCUCCACCCAGUUCAGUUCACUCAUCUUUUCCUCCUUAAGGUCUUUAGAAGUGACGGACGUCGUCAUCGAAAUAGCAGCCGCAACAUCGCUACGCCACGGCAAUACCAAUCUGCUGAUAUUCUCUUUGGAUUUGCUGUAAGUCUUUUCCCAGAUUCAGAUAAUGCCCAAUAAGAGUUCUUCAGCAAUACUAGAAAAUAAGAGGGGGGGGGGGGAAUGCUACUGUGGAACAAAAGACACCUUCAACUCCAAAAAUGGCUGCUAAUGAAAUUGAUGAGAUAUUAAAGGGAAAAAUUUGAGAAACCAAAGUCGAUGAAGAAGGAUACAAAAGUAAAAGGAAACUUGUAAAAUUUCUAACAUAAAUUUAGAAAAUAUUUCAAGCAA